UAGAUAACUCUAUUCCCUCCACAGAUGAUACCCUGGCAAAGCAAGAUACCAUGUUGAAGAGGCCCACAGGGCAAGAACUUGAAGAUGCCUCCAGAUAACAGCAAGCAAAGAGCCCAGGGCCUCAGUCUCACAGCUCCCAAGAAACUGACUGCUACCAACAAUCAUGGGAGCUUAGAGGUAGUCACUUCCCUAGAGUCAGCUUUACCUGGGCCAGCACCUUGAUCAUAGCCUGGGGUCAGACUCCUAACUGAGGAACCAGUUAACUAUCUCUGGAUUCUGGUCCCUGCCCUAAGCUGUAAGGGAAUAAAUAUAUGUUGUUUGAGAGAAGUUUGGGGCUACUCCUUACACAGCAAUAGCUAGCUAAUGCAUCUCUACUGGCAUGGAAUCCCAUUGGGUCACUGACUUGCUGAUUGUGAACCAUCCCUGAGAGCGGUGGUUACGUGAGAGAUGGAUCUUUACGUGACAGAUGGACCUGUUCCGUGCAACUGCUCAACACCCAACUACUAACAUUGAGACACUCCAGAAGAGGCUGUCAGAUCUCCUUACGGAUUGUUGUGAGCCACCAUGUGAUUGCUGGGAGGACCUUUGGAAGUGCAGUCGGUGCUCUUACCGCUGAGCCAUCUCUCCAGCCCCGUAAGCCUUGAUAUAUCAUCUCUGCCACAAUGCCCUGCAAUCCAGAACACAUCAAUUCUUUGUAGCAUUCAGGUAUAUCAUCACCUACCUGCUAGCUGGUCAGUUUGCACAUUGGUACUCCUUUUCCCUGAGCUGGGAGUAAUCCAGGGAAAUGAGCCCCUGCCAAUCCCAGUUGUAGAUAUGACAGCUGCUCCACACGAGAGGGCAGUUCAGAUCGUGCCACUCUUGGUCGCUACAGGAAUAGCCAUAGGUGUUGGUACUGGUGUGGCAGGAAUAACGACUUCUCUGGCCCAAUACAAUACAUUCACUUCCCAGUUUAAAAGCAAUCUCCAGGGAAUGACUGAAACUGUGCUUACUAUCCAGAAGCAGAUUGAUUCUUUGGCAGCUGUGGUGCUUCAGAACCGACGGGGCCUAGAUGUCCUGACAGCUGAAAAAGGUGGUCUUUGCCUGUUCCUCCAAGAAGAAUGCUGUUUCUAUGUCAACCAAUCUGGGAUAGUGAGAAACAAAAUCCAGGAGCUUCAGUCAGACAUAAAGAACUUCAGAGAUCGUGAGACCUCCAGUUCUAGCAUUUUCGAAAACCCUAUAUGGAAAUGGAUACUCCCUUUUGUAACGCCUUUUCUAGUCAUCUUCCUGGUGUUAUUGUUUGCUCCCUGCCUAGUUAAUCGUGUUUCUACAUUCCUCCAACGGCAAAUGCAAAAAAUUUCUAACCAAACUAUUAAUCAGCUCCUGUUACGGAAUUACCAGUCUCUGCCCACGGCAGAGCCGCUGUCCACAGAGGUACCUGAUGCCAACAUGUACCAAGUGGACCUCAAUGGUAAAAGUCAGCUACACCCUGAAAAUGACAACUCCCCUAGACAGCAGGAAGUAGUUUAAGAGACACGGUGCCCUCACUCCUUUUCACCAUGGAGUUCCCCCCACCUUCUUUUCCUUUUCUUUUUAAUGAAAGAAAUGCAGGGAUGUUGGUACCAAGACCUGCAAGGCCUGUGAUGUCAUAUAGGCGACAAUUAGGACAGUAUAACUAUAGGCCUGUUGCCAAGGCAACAGCCGCCACAUACCCAGAAUUCAAUGGCCCACCUUUACCUGUAAUUUACAUCAUCACCUGUAUAUAAUUGGGUAGCGUUUCUCCCCCCCCCCCCUUUCUUUUCCUUCCUUCUUCCUGCCCGCUACCCCUUUCCCCAUCUUAAAUAAAGCCCCACGUGGAACUGUUUGGCCUGGUGUAUCUCAUUGCGGCCCACAUCUCCACCGCAUCCCCACCACCCAUGCGACGGGGAGACAGGUGACCUGUCCUGCGGCAUAGGCAGACGACCUGCGUGGAAAAAAACAACAGAAAGAAUGGUAACAGAAAGAAUGGUAACAGAGUGGACAGGAAGGAAGUCCUCCAGCAAGCCUGCUCUUAAUCUUGGUAACUCGGAAUCCUGUGGGAACAAUUGAGAAGAUAGUGCAUAGCAUGUGACUCAGUCACUCUGGCCCAGGAUGGGAGGCAGAGUGCUUCUCCCUCGAAUUCAUUAGCCACUGCUUACAAGCCGGCCUAGGGUGACACAAGUUCCAAGAACGUCUGUGCGGCGCCUAGCAAAAGUUAUUAUAAGCUAACACCAGAUGCAAACGGACACAAUGGUAUCACAGGAGUCACGGAGAGCUCUCCAGUCACGUUGGUAUGUUCAAGGACGAAUAGCAGUGUCUAGCCCAGGAUGUCAGCUUGCCAAAUGAUGACUCAGGCCCUGCUUGGCAAAGAGUUUACUUUGGUUUCUUCCUGAAGCAGCAAAGAAGUUCUGCAAAUGUCAUUAAAGCUCUGUCAUUAAAGCCUGAGAGCAGCUAGAGGGUAAACCGUUUCCAAUAGAGGUCACCAUUGGUUAUUCUUUGACGUAAAAACAUCUGCAGAAAUUGUGGGAGCCUGAUUUGAUGAUGUCAUUUCUACCUGCGUCUAUUUGUUCUUUGACCUGGAAGCCUUACCCAAGGGGACUCCAUCUAGAACUCUGGCUUUCAAGAGCUUUCCCAAGAUGAUUUCUAACAGAUGUUUUCAAUGCCUGGGUAAAUAAUGUCCUGCUAUGUAUAUAUGUAUGUAUAAUCUAUCUAUCUAUCUAUCUAUCUAUCUAUCUAUCUAUCUUCCUCUCCCUCCCUUUCACUAUCCAUUCUUUUUCCUGGGCUUUUCUAACAAAUUCAUUGACUGAAAACCAAAGGUAUGGCUAUCAUAUAUCAUUCUUGGGACCAUACAAAACAUGAGGGAAUAUUGCCGUUGACCAAACUGAAUUCAUCCCAGAUUUGUAUACUGAACCCUAAUCCUCAACAUAACCAAACUUGGAGACAGAGCUAGUAAAAGAUGAUUGAGCUUACAUAGGGUGGUCAAGGCGGAACCCUUGGAAGCAGAGACACCAGAGAGAAUAUUCUCCCCACCAUGUGAGGGAGUUCAGCAGAAACAAAUUCAGCAGGCGGGCAGCCACCUGAGAGCCAGGAAGGAAAGCCUCACAGGGGACUGUGUAAUCUAUUGCCUUGAUCUUGGAACAAAAAUUAUAAAAAAUAAAUUCCUGCUGUUUUGCCAUUGCAACAACCUGUGAGUACAGAAGCCAUGCCUACUUGGCCUAGCAUUUCAAAGUCUCUCAAGUAGAUCUUGCAAGAUGCAGUCUAGUUAGGGAACUUUGGUUUGAGGGUUAAGUUGCUUGAUUUAUAAUCUCCAGGGUAUUUUAAUAUUUGGUUCACUCUAUGAAGACAGAUCAUUUAGCAAUUUUUAAGGUGGCCACUUGCCAGGUAGAGUAGCUCAGAAAAGAUCAGCACUGACUCACGUACGGGUUCAAGCCUCAACUCCCUCCUGAACAUGGGCAGAAGGGUGCUUCCUCUGUCUGCUGUGGCGCAAGGACAAGGACAGCAGUUCCUCCCCUGAGCCUGGAAAUGACACAGCAGUGUAGCAAGCUGUGCUUUGGGGAGCACAGGGGACCUGUGUGUUCCCCCAGGGAGUGCAAACCAGUGAUCACCAGCAUGUAUUGGGAACAAAUAAUAGGAAUUUUAUUUGUUAAUGCCUUUUGAAAAAUGCUGUAAAAUGUCUAUUUAAAGAAUCCAUUUCAAUUAUCAUUUUUGCAUGAGCUUUUGUUAAAGAUAAUGGACUAGUGUGCAUAUUUAAAUUAUCAAAAUGCACAUAUUGGAAAUACAUUUUCAAAUACAUUGCCAAAGCUUCUUCCUUGUUGGAUCUAUGUAAUUAAAAACAUUUAAAAGUCAUCUCUCUUAGCUCUGAAGGUGGUGAGAAGGGGAGAAUAAGAUAAGGAGGCUGAAAAGCUAAAGGAUUAUUUAAAAAAAAAAAAAAAUCUGUCGAAAGAACAGCAGUGCCUGAAAGCUACUGCUCUCCUCCUUCUCUCUGUGCCCUCUGCCCUCUGCCCUCUGCUAUAAGAAAUCAUGUUUGUACUCUUAGGCCAAAAAAUAAGUCUAUAUAAUAUUUAUUCCUCUUGGGCUGGAGAGAUGGCUCAGCAGUUAAGAGCACUGACUGCUCUUCCAGAGGUCCUGAGUUCAAUUCCCAGCAACCACAUGGUGGCUCACAACCAUCUGUAAUGGGAUCUGAUGCCCUCUUCUGGCGGUGAGACAGCUACAGUGUACUCAUAUACAUAAAAUAAAUAAAUCAUUCUUUUUUUUUUUUU